rnacentral:miRNA from 1 species
GUGUGUGUGAGAGAGAGAGAGAGAGAGAGAGAGAGAGAGAGAUUUUGUUUCUGCUUGCCUGCCUGCCUGCCUGCCUACGUGCCUCUCUCUCUCUCUCUCUCUCUCUCUCUCUCUCCCUCCCUCC